UACAGAGGUCCCGAGCGUUGUUCGGAUUCACUGGGCGUAAAGGGUGCGUAGGCGGCGCGGUAAGUCGGGUGUGAAAUCUCGGAGCUUAACUCCGAAACUGCAUUCGAUACUGCCGUGCUUGAGGACUGGAGAGGUGACUGGAAUUUACGGUGUAGCGGUGAAAUGCGUAGAUAUCGUAAGGAAGACCAGUGGCGAAGGCGGGUCUCUGGACAGUUCCUGACGCUGAGGCACGAAGGUCAGGGGAGCAAACGGG
rnacentral:rRNA from 1 species